GACGAACGCUGGCGGCGUGCUUAACACAUACAAGUCGAACGGAAAGGCCCUGCUUUUGUGGGGUGCUCGAGUGGCGAACGGGUGAGUAACACGUGAGUAACCUGCCCUUGACUUUGGGAUAACUUCAGGAAACUGGGGCUAAUACCGGAUAGGAGCUCCUGCUGCAUGGUGGGGGUUGGAAAGUUUCGGCGGUUGGGGAUGGACUCGCGGCUUAUCAGCUUGUUGGUGGGGUAGUGGCUUACCAAGGCUUUGACGGGUAGCCGGCCUGAGAGGGUGACCGGCCACAUUGGGACUGAGAUACGGCCCAGACUCCUACGGGAGGCAGCAGUGGGGAAUAUUGCACAAUGGGCGGAAGCCUGAUGCAGCAACGCCGCGUACGGGAUGACGGCCUUCGGGUUGUAAACCGCUUUCGCCUGUGACGAAGCGUGAGUGACGGUAAUGGGUAAAGAAGCACCGGCUAACUACGUG
rnacentral:rRNA from 1 species